AUUGAACGCUGGCGGCAUGCCUUACACAUGCAAGUCGAACGGCAGCACGGGAGCAAUCCUGGUGGCGAGUGGCGAACGGGUGAGUAAUAUAUCGGAACGUGCCCAGUCGUGGGGGAUAACGUAGCGAAAGCUACGCUAAUACCGCAUACGAUCUAUGGAUGAAAGCGGGGGAUCGCAAGACCUCGCGCGAUUGGAGCGGCCGAUAUCAGAUUAGGUAGUUGGUGAGGUAAAGGCUCGCCAAGCCGACGAUCUGUAGCUGGUCUGAGAGGACGACCAGCCACACUGGGACUGAGACACGGCCCAGACUCCUACGGGAGGCAGCAGUGGGGGAAUUUUUGGGACAAUGGGCGCAAGCCUGAUCCAGCAAUGCCGCGUGCA
rnacentral:rRNA from 1 species